UACGUAGGGGGCAAGCGUUGUCCGGAAUCAUUGGGCGUAAAGAGCGCGCAGGCGGUCCGGUAAGUCCGCUCUGAAAGUCCGGGGCUCAACCCCGGGAGGCGGGCGGAUACUGUCGGGCUAGAGUCCGGAAGAGGCGAGUGGAAUUCCUGGUGUAGCGGUGAAAUGCGCAGAUAUCAGGAGGAACACCAAUGGCGAAGGCAGCUCGCUGGGACGGUACUGACGCUGAGGCGCGAAAGCGUGGGGAGCAAACAGG
rnacentral:rRNA from 1 species